UGUGGAAUGCAUGCAAAGCUUACAAAGUGAGGCAUUUUCAGGAGCACUUUGACAACAUAUGCAAAGAAAGUCCGGCUGCUGGUGAAUAUCUUAGGAAAGAAGAUCCAAGUACUUGGUCUAGGGAUUAUUUUGAUCCCCUUAGCUGUUGUUAGCAUAUGAAUAACAAUUUCUCAGAAUCAUUUAAUUCUAUGAAUUCUAAUAUGAGAGAUAAACCAAUAAUCCAACUAGGCAUGAUGUAUGGUCAGUUAGUAAUGGGUUUGUUAUUUAAGAGAAGGGAAGAAUCUGCUAAGUGGAAUCAAAAUGAUUUGGUCCCUGCUGCUGUUAAGUUGAUAAAUAAGAUGCUUGACUUGGUUGGGAAGUUUGAUACAGAAGGAAGUGUGGUUGGACAGGUUUAUUUGGUAACUAAUGUGUCUAACAAGAAAAUUUUCACAGUGAACAUUGUAGACAAACAAUGCACUUGUUUGCAAUGACAGCUAAGGGGAUUCCCUUGUCAACAUGUUGUAUGUGCAUUGAAACUGCUCAGGCCAAACUGGAAAGAUUAUUGUGCUCCUUACUACUCUGUGGAAUAUUAUAGGACUAUAUAUGCAGAUGCUGUAAAUCCACUAGAAGACAUAAGUGAAUGGAUCUGGGAAGAUAAGG